UAGUUUGUAUUAAGUUUGCCGGUGAUGA
rnacentral:sRNA from 1 species